rnacentral:lncRNA from 1 species
GUCCCAGCGCUGCCGCACCAUGGCGGACCAGCUUUAUCUGGAAAAUAUAGACGAGUUCGUCACGGACCAAAACAAGAUCGUGACAUACAAAUGGCUGAGCUAUACACUAGGGGUUCAUGUUAACCAGGCCAAACAUAGAGAUGAGAUCUUGCUAUGUUGCCCAGGCUGGUCUCAAACUCCUGACCUCAAGUGAUCCUCCCACCUUGGCCUCCCAAAAUGCUGGGAUUACAGAUACAAGCCACUGUGCCCGGCCUAAGAAGAUUUUUUUUUUUCUUUUUUUUUUUUUUGAGGCAGAAGCCUUGCUCUGUCGCCCAGGCUGGAGUCCAACGGCGUGAUCUCGGCUCACUGCAACCUCCGCCUCCCUGGUUCAAGCUAUUCUACUGCCUCAACCUCCGAGGUAGCUGGGACUACAGGCAUGUGCCACCAUACCCGGCUAAUUUUAUUGUAUUUUUAGUAGAGUUGGGGUUUCACCAUGCUGGCCAGGCUGGUCUCGAACUCCUGACCUCAAGUGAUCUGCCCGCCUCGGCCUUCUAAAGUGCUGGGAUUACAGAUGUGAGCCAUCGUGCCAAGCCAAGAUUUUUUAAAUUGAGAAAUAAAGUUGUAUGUAUUUAUUGUGUACAACAUUAUGUUUUGAAGUAUAUAUACACUGUGGAGUAGUUAAAUCUAGCUAAUAAAUGUAUUACAUCACACAGUUAUUUUGGUGGUGAAAACAUUUAAUGUCUACCAUCUUUUCAUUUUUCAAGAAUAUAUCAUCACUAACUGUAGUCACCAUGCUAUACAGUAGAGCUCUUGAACUUAUUCCUGUCUAACUGUAAUUAUGUAUCCUUUAGACCCACAUCUCCCCAUUCCCCCUCCCCUAACCACUUCAGCCUAUGGAAAGAAAAUUCUGCUUUCCACUUCCGUGAGAUCACCUUUUACAGAUUCCACAAAUGAGUGAGAUCAUGUAGUAUUUGUCUGUGUCUGGCUUAUUUCAGUUAACAUAGUCUCUUCCAGGUUCAUCCAUUUUGUUGCAAAUGAUAGGAUUUUAUUCAUUUUUAUGGCUGAAUAGUAUUCCAUUGUGUAUAUACACUAUAUUUCCUUUAUCCAUUAAUGGACAUUUAUUGAUUCCAUAUCUUGGCUGUUGUAAAUAGUGCUG